rnacentral:rRNA from 1 species
CAGUCGCCACGGUAAAACGUAGGGUGCAAGCGUUAAUCGGAAUUACUGGGCGUAAAGCGUGCGCAGGCGGUCCGCUAAGACAGAUGUGAAAUCCCCGGGCUUAACCUGGGAACUGCAUUUGUGACUGGCGAGCUAGAGUAUGGCAGAGGGGGGUAGAAAUCCACGUGUAGCAGUGAAAUGCGUAGAGAUGUGGAGGAAUACCGAUGGCGAAGGCAGCCCCCUGGGCCAAUACUGACGCUCAUGCACGAAAGCGUGGGGAGCAAACAGGAUUAGAUACCCGGGUAGUCCCUGUCUCUUAUAC